rnacentral:misc_RNA from 1 species
UCCGGUUUGGCACCGGCAGUCUCUCUAGAGUGCCCGGCAUUACCCGCUGGUAACUAGAGACAGGGGUUGCGCUCGUUGCGGGACUUAACCCAACAUCUCACGACACGAGCUGACGACAACCAUGCACCACCUGUGAACCGGCCCCAAAAGGAGAAACCACAUCUCUGCGGCGGUCCGGUCCAUGUCAAGCCUUGGUAAGGUUCUUCGCGUUGCACCGAAUUAAUCCGCAUGCUCCGCCGCUUGUGCGGGCCUCCGUCAAUUCCUUUGAGUUUUAGCCUUGCGGCCGUACUCCCCAGGCGGGGCGCUUAAUGCGUUAGCUUCGGCACAGAAGGGGUCGAUACCCCCCACACCUAGCGCCCAUCGUUUACGGCGUGGACUAC